rfam:Medicago truncatula strain A17 chromosome 2, whole genome shotgun sequence.
UUGGUCUCUCGACUUUUGGUUAAGAUAAAAGUGUAGUAUACGUUCUUAUCAGUUCAAUCUUUAAUAUGUGGUCCAAUGGAUCACACGAUAUUGAAUUACAUUUUUGAGGGGGAGAGAUCACUUUGAUAGCUUGUUAUUGGGCUUAUCAGUUGUCACAUAUGCGUUACACUAUUGCAUAGGUCUGGCACACCCCAA